AGUGAACGCUGGCGGUAGGCCUAACACAUGCCAGUCGAACGGCAGCACAGUAAGAGCUUGCUCUUACGGGUGGCGAGUGGCGGACGGGUGAGGAAUACAUCGGAAUCUACUUUUUCGUGGGGGAUAACGUAGGGAAACUUACGCUAAUACCGCAUACGGCCUACGGGUGAAAGCAGGGGAUCUUCGGACCUUGCGCGAUUGAAUGAGCCGAUGUCGGAUUAGCUAGUUGGCGGGGUAAAGGCCCACCAAGGCGACGAUCCGUAGCUGGUCUGAGAGGAUGAUCAGCCACACUGGAACUGAGACACGGUCCAGACUCCUACGGGAGGCAGCAGUGGGGAAUAUUGGACAAUGGGCGCAAGCCUGAUCCAGCCAUACCGCGUGGGUGAAGAAGGCCUUCGGGUUGUAAAGCCCUUUUGUUGGGAAAGAAAAGCAGCAGGUUAAUACCCCGCUGUUCUGACGGUACCCAAAGAAUAAGCACCGGCUAACUUCGUG
rnacentral:rRNA from 1 species